rnacentral:rRNA from 1 species
UUGAACGCUGGCGGCAGGCUUAACACAUGCAAGUCGAGCGGUAGCACAAGAGAGCUUGCUCUCUGGGUGACGAGCGGCGGACGGGUGAGUAAUGUCUGGGAAACUGCCUGAUGGAGGGGGAUAACUACUGGAAACGGUAGCUAAUACCGCAUAACGUCGCAAGACCAAAGAGGGGGACCUUCGGGCCUCUUGCCAUCAGAUGUGCCCAGAUGGGAUUAGCUAGUAGGUGGGGUAAUGGCUCACCUAGGCGACGAUCCCUAGCUGGUCUGAGAGGAUGACCAGCCACACUGGAACUGAGACACGGUCCAGACUCCUACGGGAGGCAGCAGUGGGGAAUAUUGCACAAUGGGCGCAAGCCUGAUGCAGCCAUGCCGCGUGUGUGAAGAAGGCCUUCGGGUUGUAAAGCACUUUCAGCGAGGAGGAAGGUGGUGAACUUAAUACGUUCAUCAAUUGACGUUACUCGCAGAAGAAGCACCGGCUAACUCCGUG